rnacentral:rRNA from 1 species
AGAUUGAACGCUGGCGGCAGGCCUAACACAUGCAAGUCGAGCGGUAGAGAGGUGCUUGCAUCUCUUGAGAGCGGCGGACGGGUGAGUAAUGCCUAGGAAUCUGCCUAGUGGUGGGGGAUAACGUUCGGAAACGGACGCUAAUACCGCAUACGUCCUACGGGAGAAAGGCGGGGGACCUUCGGGCCUCGCGCCAUUAGAUGAGCCUAGGUCGGAUUAGCUAGUUGGUGAGGUAAUGGCUCACCAAGGCGACGAUCCGUAACUGGUCUGAGAGGAUGAUCAGUCACACUGGAACUGAGACACGGUCCAGACCUCCGUACGGGGAGGCAG